GCACUAUGGUGUAGUGGUUAUCACGUCUGCUUUACACGCAUAUUGUCCCCAGUUCGAGCCUGGGUACA
rnacentral:tRNA from 1 species